CCUCGGGUGGCCUAGAGGGGCAGAGCAUGUGCUUUGCAUGCAGAAGGUCCCAGGUUCAAUCCCUGGCCUUGGGC